UACGUAGGUGGCAAGCGUUGUCCGGAUUUAUUGGGCGUAAAGAGCGUGUAGGCGGCUUGGUAGGUCCGCUGUGAAAACUCGAGGCUCAACCUCGAGAUGUCGGUGGAAACCACUUGGCUAGAGUCCGGAAGAGGAGAGUGGAAUUCCUGGUGUAGCGGUGAAAUGCGCAGAUAUCAGGAAGAACACCUAUGGCGAAGGCAGUUCUCUGGGACGGUACUGACGCUGAGACGCGAAAGCGUGGGGAGCAAACAGG
rnacentral:rRNA from 1 species